GACAUACAGAAAGUGAACAACAUUUAGCUGAGUUAAAGGAAAAAAACCCAAAAUGAAAUGCAAGUGUUGCUUGUUUUCCAGUGCUGCUAACGGUAUUACAUACAUAUUAUAUUACAGUGCGUUUUUAAAACGUGUCAUGGCAUGGAGAGAGGAUGACUUCUUUCCACAAGCAAUCACAACAAGCGCAGGAGGACUCACUGUGACAUGAAUAUGAACGACUUCAUCUGCACUGACAGAGAGGAUGAUGUACUUCUAAACACUCCUUUCCUCCAUCAGCAGUCUAGGGGACCUUGGGGUGACCAAUCAAUGUCCUGUAUCAUCCAUCACCAUGGAGACACAGAAGUUGAGCAUGGAUCAUAACAUUUCACCUUUGUUAUCCCUCCUUGGCUUUGAAGCCAGCUAACAAUCAGUGCGAGCGUAAGAAGUUGGCAGGCAUCGAGGAGGAAGGAGUGGUGGAGGAAAAAGGGGUGGAAGCAGACGAGGAGAGGACACUGCAGGAGGAGGCUGUGAUAAAAAAUGAGGAUACAGCAGAGCACAAAGGGGAAGAGAUGGAAAAGGGUGUCGCUGCAGGAGAGAAGUGGAGGCCCGAGCAGGAGGUGGUGCAGAACUUUUUUAACACACACAGAGUGGAAAAUCUCAAUCUAUUAAGGCAAUUUAAAAAUUUGCAAAAAGCCACCAUGGGGGGUUUGAACUUCCCUGUCUGCCUCUUUUUUUUAAUUUUUGCAACACUAUAAAAGCCUUACAGGAAAGGCAGUCUGAGAAAUGUGCACCUUUA